rnacentral:rRNA from 1 species
CUUGGUCAUUUAGAGGAAGUAAAAGUCGUAACAAGGUCUCCGUGGGUGAACCUGCGGAGGGAUCAUUACACAAUAAAAUACGAAGGCCGUUCGCGGCUGGACUAUUUAUUACCCUUGUCUUUUGCGCACUUGUUGUUUCCUGGGCGGGUUCGCUCGCCACCAGGACCACAAUAUAAACCUUUUUUAUGCAGUUGCAAUCAGCGUCAGUAUAACAAAUGUAAAUCAUUUACAACUUUCAACAACGGAUCUCUUGGUUCUGGCAUCGAUGAAGAACGCAGCGAAAUGCGAUACGUAGUGUGAAUUGCAGAAUUCAGUGAAUCAUCGAAUCUUUGAACGCACAUUGCGCCCUUUGGUAUUCCAAAGGGCAUGCCUGUUCGAGCGUCAUUUGUACCCUCAAGCUUUGCUUGGUGUUGGGCGUUUUUGUCUUUGGCCCGCCAAAGACUCGCCUUAAAAUGAUUGGCAGCCGGCCUACUGGUUUCGCAGCGCAGCACAUUUUUGCGCUUGCAAUCAGCAAAAGAGGACGGCAAUCCAUCAAGACUCCUUCUCACGUUUGACCUCGGAUCAGGUAGGGAUACCCGCUGAACUUAAGCAUAUCAAUAAGCGGAGGA